rnacentral:rRNA from 1 species
AUAAUACAAGAUUUAACCUGCCCGCUGAGUUAAUUGAAUGGCCGCGGUAUUUUGACCGUGCAAAGGUAGCAUAAUAAUUAGUUUUUUAAUUGAAAGCUGGAAUGAAUGGUUGGACGAGAAAGUUUCUGUCUCUUUUUAAUUUUUAUAGAAUUUAAUUUUUGAGUUAAAAGGCUUAAAUUUAUAUGAAAGACGAGAAGACCCCAUAGAGUUUAAUAUAUUUAUUUAUUUUUUUCUUAAGGUAUAUUUUUAGAAUAAAGUAAUAAGAUAUAUUUUGUUGGGGUGAUGGAAAGAUUAAAUUAACUCUUUUUAAUUUAAACAUUAAUUUAUGAAUUUUUGAUCCGUUUUUUGCGAUUAUAAGAUUAAAUUACCUUGGGGAUAACAGCGUAAUCUUUUUAGAGAGUUCUUAUUGAAAUGAAGGGUUGCGACCUCGAUGUUGGAUUAAAAUUAAUUUUUGGUGCAGUAGCUAAAAUAUUGAGUCUGUUCGACUUUUGAAAUUUUACAUGAUCUGAGUUUAAACCGGUGUGAGCCAGGUUGGUUUCUAUCUUUAUUUAUUUAUAAUAUUUUAGUACGAAAGGACCAA